UCCAGACUCCUACGGGAGGCAGCAGUGGGGAAUAUUGGGCAAUGGGCGCAAGCCUGACCCAGCAACGCCGCGUGAAGGAAGAAGGCUUUCGGGUUGUAAACUUCUUUUCUGAGGGACGAAGGAAGUGACGGUACCUCAGGAAUAAGCCCCGGCUAACUACGUGCCAGCAGCCGCGGUAAUACGUAGGGGGCGAGCGUUAUCCGGAUUCACUGGGUGUAAAGGGAGCGUAGACGGCCAUGCAAGCCAGGGGUGAAAGGCCGGGGGCCAACCCCGGGACUGCCCUUGGAACUGCAUGGCUGGAGUGCGGGAGGGGGAGGCGGAAUUCCUGGUGUAGCGGUGAAAUGCGUAGAUAUCAGGAGGAACACCAGUGGCGAAGGCGGCCUGCUGGGCGACAACUGACGGUGAGGCGCGAAAGCGUGGGGAGCAAACAGGAUUAGAUACCCGGGUAA
rnacentral:rRNA from 1 species